rnacentral:SRP_RNA from 1 species
CGAGAGUCCGGCGCGGACGAAACCGUCGCCAACCCGGUCAGGUCCGGAAGGAAGCAGCCGUAACGAAUUCGUUUCGGGUCGUGCCGGGCUCUCACCU